CCCCCUUUUUAUUUCGGCUCCUGCCGGGCC
rnacentral:sRNA from 1 species